GAGAACUUUGAAGGCCGAA
rnacentral:ncRNA from 3 species